rnacentral:lncRNA from 1 species
GAUGUGCAAAGCAGAUGGAGUGAAGAAUAAAAAUUAUAAGAGAGCUGGCCACAUGGAUCUUGUAUUGCCUUUUGCCUGCCUUUGGGCUAGAUCUUUUGACCACCUUGGCAGAGAGGCUGCUAGCAACCCUUCAUCUUCUUCCACUUUAUGUGGGAACACCAUCACAGUGGCCACCACCUGAUUGACCUGCCAGCCUUGGAGGCCUACUGAGGCAGAUUCACGGCCAUCCCAGGAAGCCACACUGGAAGAAGAAGCCACAAUACCCAAAUUGCCUGUAACUCAGCUUUGGACUGAAAGGGGAUACUGGCACUUUCUUAGCAGUGAUGGCAUCUUUUGUGAUGAUUGGUGUCCUUCUGCUUUCUUGGAGAUGUGGCAUCCCCUGUGUCACUGGAUUGCCUGCCUAGACUGUGAUGGGACAACUUUCACAGUGCUGCAAGGUGCCGGGACYCCCAGGCUGGCCUGCAAAUCCAAGGGAACACGUGUUAGGACGGCAAGUUGCAUUAGGAAGAGGCCAAAAGUGAGAACUAAAUGACAACUAAACAGAAAUGGAGCAAUGGAGGAAGCAUGUUUUAUUCCCUUGGAUUAUUGAUUCAUACCUGCUGCAGUUUGUCUUUCCAUCUCACAGAAAGGCAGCAGGUUGGCAUUUUGAAGGAGCAAGCAUGGAAAAAAAUAGAGGGGGCUACAGUCUUGUGGAAGGCAAGGUUCUGUCAGUCUGGCCGAUUCUGUUUGUGGUACUAGUUCUGUUGCCUUCGAUGUUUAGAGUGUCGCUGGGGAUUUCUCAUAUCUAUGUGAAAAUUGUAAUAAAAAUGUUAGAGUUGAAAGUUAUUCUCUAA